rnacentral:lncRNA from 1 species
CUGUUCCCAUUUUUGUCACUGCAAACCAUCAACUCGCGACCAUCACAUCUUGCCCUGGGGUUUCUAAACAUUUGCCAGCUGGCUGAUCAGAUUGUCGGGGGGCAAAUUGUCUGGAUUUGAAUACAUUUACCCGCAGGUGGGGGGCGGAGCCAGGCUUCCAUGCAGAGCAGACGUGGUGUGCCUGAGAUCCUGAAAGUUUUACUACAUCUGAGGUGAUAUCCCUUGGUUAAAGAACAGCUACGUCCAAGGAAGGGCACUAUCCGAGUCUAGGGAUUCCUGCUGACUAUCCUGACACUCGAGCGGUGUUUCUACCCCACCUGGAAUCCGUGUCUCUCUGCUGCGGCCUACUGGGGACGGAGCUGGGGAGAGGUGGCUGAUCUCACUCCUCAGACCCUGGUUUAGCUCAGCUAUACUCCUAUCGCCCAGCCCCCACUGCAUCGGCGGGGGAUAUCACGGUCCCCACUGGACACCAGAGCUAACUGCCUUAUCUACUCUGUACUCCAUGUGGAAAUUAAGCAACACAUAGCCCACAAUGGGUAAUCAAGAUGGCGAAUGCGACCGUCCAGACCCCCUGCUUGCCCCAGAGGGAAGAUAACCUUGGUACCUGAGAGGGUCCAAGCCUGCAAACAAGGGAUGCCAGCCCUCAUACAAGCUCCUGCACACUCAUCAACCCUGCCGCAGGCAGGCAUCGGAUGAUCCUGGGACUGCACCUAUAUCCCGAGGCUUGCUCAGGCAGCGGCAGCAGCUGCAUACUCAGAUCCCUUUAUAUUUCCAGUUUUCUGCUAUCAGUUUUUUCAUUAUGUUUAUUAUGUUCCCUUAUAUUUCUUACUUAGACAAACACUAUUCCUAGUGCGGAGUACCCCUGCAUUAGCGCUAGCACGCUCCGGGGUCCAGUGUCCUCAAGCGUUAACUGAAACUCAAACGACCACAUGUGCUCAUAUCAUUACCUUAGGGUAAACCUGCGAUACCACCAUGAUCCCUGCAUCAUAAAUCACGCCAGCUAUACCUGCUAGUUGUUAAACUGACUGCAGGAUUGAAAAACUGAGCACACUGUUUUACCAAAUCUUAUUAGUUUCUACAGUAAUUGAAUAUUCUAUUGACUGUGGUGCAUAUAAUAUGUAAGAGUUUUAUUAAUAUGGUGACCGCUCAAAUGUGCACCAUGCUCUUAAUGUCUUUACUUUCUUAUAAAACAAAAAUGAGCUGUCCUAUAUGUACACUUAACCUGUCAAAAAUAAUAAAUGUGCCUGCAGGUGAAUCUGUUUGGAAGAUUUGUCCGAUUUCAGGCAAUAUCUAGUAAAUAUUCAGUGUACGAUAAAUGUGCAAAUCCUAUACAAAUGAGAAUUAUAGAUUUGAAACCUGUUACAGUAUUGUACAAAAGACAGUGCAUAUUGCAUUCAGCAUUAGUAAAUGUCCAAAAACGGCAAAUUCUGAGAAAAUCUGGUGUAAUGGGACCUUUGUGAAUAACCCAAGAUUUUUACCAAUUCAGCUGUUUUCACCUUGAAUUUGAAAUUUACUUCACAAUUCUCACUUUAUUAAAUAACCCUGUAUAACCCUGUAUGUAAUGCCAGAAGUUUUAAUCCUUGCAGCAAGUAUAGGUCACAUCACACGCUUUCUCAGAAAUAAAUCACUGCCAAGCAAGAUGUGUG